rnacentral:rRNA from 1 species
AUGCUUGCCUCACCAGCCUCCUUCUCUAAGAAAAUACUAGGGUUCCUCAGCCUUCCGCCGGCGCCGGCGCUGGUCCGCCUCGUCUCUAAUGGUCUUAGAAUCAUGGCGGCCCGGUGGAUCCCGGCCCUUGCUAGCAGAAGGGCUUUGUUUUCAUAUGCUUUUUUGAAUUUUGUUAGGGUUUGUGUUCUACUUAGGAAGAUGAGACGACAACGUUUCCCUAAAGAUGAAAUAAGAUUCUCCCGGCUCCGCCCCCAUCCCGGUGGUCUAAGCAUCAUAGCCGGGCGUGUGGAGAUGUGUCUUCGGCGGAUCUAUCUUUGGUGGAUUGUUCGGUUUUGA